rnacentral:lncRNA from 1 species
GUAGUUCUUAUUUUUAUUUUAUUGCAAGUGCCUUAGGGAUACCUUGUGUACACAAUCAUGUCAUAUAUGAAUAACAACAGUUUACCUUUUGUUUCUUCUUGCUUUGUCGUAAUGGCUAGGACCUUCAACCUAAUGUUGAAUAGAAGCGGUGUGUGAGUUGUUACUCUUGUCUUAUUCUCAACAGCAGAGGAUAGCGUCUAGUUUUUCACUAUUAAAAUAUGUUAGCUAUAGGUUUUUUCCGUUUCAUGUUUUUAUCAGAUUGAAGAUCCCUUUUAUUCCUAUUUUGCCAAGAGUGUCAUGAAUGCAUGUUGAAUUUCACCAAGUACUUUUUCCUGCAUCUGUUGAGAGAAUCUUGACUUUUCUCUUUUAUUUUGUUAAUGUAGAUUCUUUAAUGUUAAACUGAUCUUGCAUUCCUGAUAUAAACCAUACUUAGUCAUGAUAUGUUAUCCCCUUUAUAUAAUGCUGGAUUCGGUUUGCAAAUAUUUUGUUUGAUUUUUGCAUCUAUGCUCAUGAGACAGAUUGGUCUGUGAUUUUCCUUUCUUGUAAGUCUUGUCAGGUGUCAGGGCUUGGUUAAUUUUGACA